rnacentral:rRNA from 1 species
GUGGGGAAUCUUAGACAAUGGGGGAAACCCUGAUCUAGCCAUGCCGCGUGAGCGAUGAAGGCCUUAGGGUUGUAAAGCUCUUUCAGCUGGGAAGAUAAUGACGGUACCAGCAGAAGAAGCCCCGGCUAACUCCGUGCCAGCAGCCGCGGUAAUACGGAGGGGGCUAGCGUUGUUCGGAAUUACUGGGCGUAAAGCGCACGUAGGCGGAUCAGAAAGUCAGAGGUGAAAUCCCAGGGCUCAACCUUGGAACUGCCUUUGAAACUCCUGGUCUUGAGGUCGAGAGGGGUGAGUGUAAUUCGGAGUGUAGAGGUGAAAUUCGUAGAUAUUCGGAGGAACACCAGUGGCGAAGGCGGCUCACUGGCUCGAUACUGACGCUGAGGUGCGAAAGCGUGGGGAGCAAACAGGAUUAGAAACCCCAGUAGUCC